AUGAUCAUCUCUGAAAGUUCCAUCAGUCCGCUCACUGUAUACAUCGAUCUCUCAUCUCCCUAUGUGGAUCGGAUCAUAACAUGUUGAUUGUUCAUAGGUAUGGUCAAAUCGUUGUGUUUUAUUGUUUUUUUAGAUUUUGAAUAUGUAUUUUAAAUGUUAACAUACACUUUUAUUUCAUACCUAGUUAAUCAUUUUAACCAGACUUGUUAAAAUUAAGUUAUGUGUUGAAAUUGGUCAAAGUUGGUGUCAGUAGCAGACUCCUAUGAAAAUAAAGCAACACGAUUAUGAAUUUAUGAAAUGUUAACUUGGUGAUAAGGUUGAUAUGUAAAACAAAUGAGAGAGAAACAACUUCUAGUUCUAAACAAUUUAAUUAAUUUGUUACCAUUAUAUUGUUUCCCCAUGUUAUUAUUAUACUGUUUCACCUCUCCUUACUGAUAUGAAAUUAAUUUUCAAGCUCUAUGAUGGUUACUCGUAAUUUAAUUUACGAUUGAAUGCAGUGAUGAAAAAAGGUGGGAGACACCAUUGGCAUCCUGAAAUAAAUACUGAAUAUGUUGGGCUUUUAAUUUGUUUCUGUUAAAGUCUUCUUCUGUUCUUUCUAUGAAAAUAAGAUAUUUAAAAUUUAUUUCCAGCAAUUUUUGUGCACCUGUCACAAAUUUUUCGCCCUCUCUCGAAGCACAGCGAUCCUAAAGGUUGUGAAUAUUUGGAAAAUUUCUGUUGAUGAUUAUGGAGAGCAGUCUUUUGAUGGCAGUAAUUGAGGCACAAACAAACUCUGUCACACAUCCAUUUGAAGGCAGUAAUCGAGGAACAAACAAACUUGUCCGGCAAAGUUUGCAAAACAUGCAUCUAGUGGCUCAGACGUGCCCAACUGGAGGAUCAGGGUUUGGGUUCUUAAUUGCAAUGACGGGAAGAUAAAUUUUGUUGAAACAAGGUGCCGUAUGAAACAAGGUGCGUCGCUUUGAACUUAGGUCAAGGGAUGCACGCAGGUUUUACCAUGAUGCAGCUGCAAGGGAAAACCGAACUUGCAAUGAUAUGUUACCUGGCAGGUGGACAUGUGAAGUCAGUGAGAAGAGGAGCUCAAGUCCAUACCCCGAUUGCCUCAAGAAUAUGUAGGGCGAAGAUUGCACACACUGAGCAUAGUGAUUUCUAUGCAAAUGCACCUAAUUAACUAGGCAUCUAUCAUUUACGUGUUCUAGGUCCACUUUUUUUAUGGUGGUGUUUUCUCAUUAACCAGAAUAUUGGUUGUUACAUGGAAGUUUACUUCUUCAUUCAAAAAGAGCCUUUAACAACCAUGUUGAUUGCUGUGUUGAUUAUUCAACCUUGGAGUUCUAAUUGUAACAUGUUGAUUGAUCAUAAUGUUUUAAUUUUUGUUUUCACUUUAAUUUGGGUACUAGUAAGAUGUAUUGAUAACAAAUAGAAUAUUUUUUUAUUGAUGCUCUGAUCUUUAUUC
rnacentral:lncRNA from 1 species